UCAUUGGUAAGGUGCUUGCCUAGCGUGC
rnacentral:piRNA from 1 species